AUUGAACGCUGGCGGCAGGCUUAACACAUGCAAGUCGAGCGGGGUGAUGUAGCUUGCUACAUUACCUAGCGGCGGACGGGUGAGUAAUGCUUAGGAAUCUGCCUAUUAGUGGGGGACAACAUUCCGAAAGGAAUGCUAAUACCGCAUACGCCCUACGGGGGAAAGCAGGGGAUCUUAGGACCUUGCGCUAAAUGAUGAGCCUAAGUCGGAUUAGCUAGUUGGUGGGGUAAAGGCCUACCAAGGCGACGAUCUGUAGCGGGUCUGAGAGGAUGAUCCGCCACACUGGGACUGAGACACGGCCCAGACUCCUACGGGAGGCAGCAGUGGGGAAUAUUGGACAAUGGGCGGAAGCCUGAUCCAGCCAUGCCGCGUGUGUGAAGAAGGCCUUUUGGUUGUAAAGCACUUUAAGCGAGGAGGAGGCUACCUAGAUUAAUACUCUGGGAUAGUGGACGUUACUCGCAGAAUAAGCACCGGCUAACUCUGUGCCAGCAGCCGCCGUAAAAC
rnacentral:rRNA from 1 species